rnacentral:lncRNA from 1 species
UCUUGUGAAGAAGACUCCACCGUGCUGCUGAGGAGGCCUAACUGAGGCCUAACAGAGCAGCAGGACAAAGGACUAAAGAAAAAGAAAUGUGACCAUUCUGGUUGUGCAAAUGAGGACUUAGAAUUAGUUGUUCAGCUGAAGGUAAUUUCUUACAUGAUCUCUCAAAUCUUUACUGUUUAUAUUUCUGUUUAAGCACUGAAUAACCUUGAUAACAGAACGUGAAUAAUGCCUGAAAGGAAAAUAAAAGUUUGUCCAAUUAUUUCUUGCUUCCA